AAUUAAUCCACUCCAUAGAAAUCGAUGGGUAAUAUUUUAUACCAAAGGGUAGCUGUGCAGAUUUGUCCAUAGCUUUAAUGUUAUUAAAGAGGAAGCAACUUGAGUGGCAUUGGGGAUGACAUUUCUAUUGUGUAUA